UACGUAGGGUGCAGGCGUUAAUCGGAAUUACUGGGCGUAAAGCGUGCGCAGGCGGUCUAUUAAGACAGGUGUGGAAUCCCCGGGCUUAACCUGGGAACUGCGCUUGUAACUGAUAGGCUUGAGUGUGGCAGAGGGGGGUGGAAUUCCACGUGUAGCAGUGAAAUGCGUAGAUAUCAUGAGGAACACCAGAGGCGAAGGCGACUUCCUGGACAAUUGCUGACGCUCAGGCACGAAAGCAUGGGGAGCAAAAGGG
rnacentral:rRNA from 1 species